GUCCACUCACACUAUAAGAGGAUCAUUACAGCUGCUGCACUGUGGAGAAAACGAAGCAGAUUGGGCAUCAAAGCAAGAAAGCCAUUGAGGAGGCUAGAGCAGCCAUCCAAGAGAGAAACGGUGAAGGUUCCAGUCUCUAUUAUUCACUCUGCAAUAGGCAAUGUUGCGUCAAUAACCACAUUCAAGGUGAAUUAAAAAGGGGAAGAAGUUCUUCCAUCCAUCUCGGUCCUUUAUUUUUCUGUGGAUCUUGUACACAAGUCAAAGCAGAGGUGAUGUGGGAUAGAUACACAUGGAAGAUCUUGGGGAUCCGUGACUGUCAAAAUGCAGAAUGUAAGUGACUGUGCAGUGCUCAGCUCCAAACGGGGCACCUAUAACACACCUACAGCUAAGGCUCAGGGAAACUCAUGGAAAAGAAGAACAGAAGAAUGCGAGGGGACCACAAGUAUUUCUGGAGACUAAUGUCAUCUAGACACGACCCCGGCGUUGAACCCAUGAACUCUU